AUGUUGGCCGGGCGACGGUUGUCCCGGUUUAAGCGUGUAGGCUGGUUUUCCAGGCAAAUCCGGAAAAUCAAGGCUGAGGCGUGAUGACGAGGCACUACGGUGCUGAAGCAACAAAUGCCCUGCUUCCAGGAAAAGCCUCUAAGCAUCAGGUAACAUCAAAUCGUACCCCAAACCGACACAGGUGGUCAGGUAGAGAAUACCAAGGCGCUUGAGAGAACUCGGGUGAAGGAACUAGGCAAAAUGGUGCCGUAACUUCGGGAGAAGGCACGCUGAUAUGUAGGUGAAGCGACUUGCUCGUGGAGCUGAAAUCAGUCGAAGAUACCAGCUGGCUGCAACUGUUUAUUAAAAACACAGCACUGUGCAAACACGAAAGUGGACGUAUACGGUGUGACGCCUCCCCGGUGCCGGAAGGUUAAUUGAUGGGGUUAGCGCAAGCGAAGCUCUUGAUCGAAGCCCCGGUAAACGGCGGCCGUAACGAUAACGGUCCUAAGGUAGCGAAAUUCCUUGUCGGGUAAGUUCCGACCUGCACGAAUGGCGUAAUGAUGGCCAGGCUGUCUCCACCCGAGACUCAGUGAAAUUGAACUCGCUGUGAAGAUGCAGUGUACCCGCGGCAAGACGGAAAGACCCCGUGAACCUUUACUAUAGCUUGACACUGAACAUUGAGCCUUGAUGUGUAGGAUAGGUGGGAGGCUUAGAAGUGUGGACGCCAGUCUGCAUGGAGCCGACCCUGAAAUACCACCCUUUAAUGUUUGAUGUUCUAACGUUGACCCGUAAUCCGGGUUGCGGACAGUGUCUGGUGGGUAAUUUGACUGGGGCGGUCUCCUCCUAAAGAGUAACGGAGGAGCACGAAGGUUGGCUAAUCCUGGUCGGACAUCAGGAGGUUAGUGCAAUGGCAUAAGCCAGCUUGACUGCGAGCGUGACGGCGCGAGCAGGUGCGAAAGCAGGUCAUAGUGAUCCGGUGGUUCUGAAUGGAAGGGCCAUCGCUCAACGGAUAAAAGGUACUCCGGGGAUAACAGGCUGAUACCGCCCAAGAGUUCAUAUCGACGGCGGUGUUUGGCACCUCGAUGUCGGCUCAUCACAUCCUGGGGCUGAAGUAGGUCCCAAGGGUAUGGCUGUUCGCCAUUUAAAGUGGUACGCGAGCUGGGUUUAGAACGUCGUGAGACAGUUCGGUCCCUAUCUGCCGUGGGCGCUGGAGAACUGAGGGGGGCUGCUCCUAGUACGAGAGGACCGGAGUGGACGCAUCACUGGUGUUCGGGUUGUCAUGCCAAUGGCACUGCCCGGUAGCUAAAUGCGGAAGAGAUAAGUGCUGAAAGCAUCUAAGCACGAAACUUGCCCCGAGAUGAGUUCUCCCUGACCCUUUAAGGGUCCUGAAGGAACGUUGAAGACGACGACGUUGAUAGGCCGGGUGUGUAAGCGCAGCGAUGCGUUGAGCUAACCGGU
rnacentral:rRNA from 1 species